rnacentral:rRNA from 1 species
AUACGGAGGGUGCAAGCGUUAUCCGGAUUUAUUGGGUUUAAAGGGUGCGUAGGCGGUUUGAUAAGUCAGCGGUGAAAUAUUUCAGCUUAACUGGAAGGGUGCCGUUGAUACUGUCGAGCUUGAAUUUAGUUGCUGUGGGUGGAAUGGGUGGUGUAGCGGUGAAAUGCAUAGAUAUCACACAGAAUAUCGAUUGCGAAGGUAGCUCACAAAGCUAAUAUUGACGCUGAUGUACGAAAGUGUGGGGAUCAAACAGGAUUAGAUACCCUGGUAGUCCACACUGUAAACGAUGAUAACUCGCUGUCGGCGAUACAUGGUCGGUGGCCAAGCGAAAGCGAUAAGUUAUCCACCUGGGGAGUACGACCGCAAGGUUGAAACUCAAAUGAAUUGACGGGG